GUAAUAGCUCAACAGGUUAGAGCAUGGCUGCUAAUGCCAAGGUUGCAGGUUCAAUCCCUGUAUGGGACG